UACGAAGGGGGCUAGCGUUGUUCGGAUUUACUGGGCGUAAAGCGCACGUAGGCGGAUCUUUUAAGUCAGAGGUGAAAUCCCAAGGCUCAACCUUGGAACUGCCUUUGAUACUGGGGAUCUUGAGUCCGGAAGAGGUUGGUGGAACUGCGAGUGUAGAGGUGAAAUUCGUAGAUAUUCGCAAGAACACCAGUGGCGAAGGCGGCCAACUGGUCCGGUACUGACGCUGAGGUGCGAAAGCGUGGGGAGCAACAGG
rnacentral:rRNA from 1 species